CCAAAUCCAUCAAACCUGCACCAUGGCAUGGAGAAGGCAAAGAUGAUCCCGUUCCGCAAGAGCUGAGCUUCAAUUCUCUGUUAGCCGAGUGGACAGAUACCUUUGAGAAGGAAAGUAUUGCCGGCGCCUGAGUGCUGCUCCUGUGUUGCUCGCUGGUAUACUCGAGUACCUGACAUCCAACAUCCUUGUGCUGGCUGCUGAGGAAGCCUUCAUCAGGGGCAAGAAGUGCAUCACCCCAGAGCACUUAUGUUGGGUGAUUCAGAACAACAGACAGCUCAGUUAGCUCUUCGAAGAGAACACCAAAUCUCUGGAUGAUUUGCCAUAAUGAGAACUGAUGAUGGUUGGGUCUCAGAGGCUGAGGGUCUCCCUUUUCAGCCUCCACCAGGCCCAAUGUAGCUGGGGGAGCUAAUCAGUCAUGCUAUUAAAGCAUAUAAGCAGUGUCCUAGUAGACUGCAAAGUAGUCAGUCUGAGCAGUUUUCAAAAGCUCCAGAAGCCGCUAAGAAGCUAAGAAUGGCGGACUCGAGAACCAGCACAAGGCAUCCGCAGCUGAGAUCCGUGGAAAAUCAACGCAACACAGAAAAACCUGAGCUAACAUCAAAAAACGUUACAGUUUAGAAUACUACUGUACCUAAAAAGGUCGGUCUGUGAGAACAAAAGUUGCAGAGAUGCUUGUUUUAACAAAAAUUGUUAACUGCAAAAAGUUUUGGUUGUAAAACGUCUCUUCAUAUUUGGAAGUGAAAGCCUGAUACCAGAAUUUAUUUCUUGUUUGAACUUUUUGAACUUAAAAUGAGAUAAAACUACAAAAAGA